UUUUAGUCUUGUCAAAACUUUUUAGCAUUAAAAACUUCUGAGCCCAACCAAUUUUAAAUUUUUUUAAUUCCAAUCUCAAGUGUCAAAUUCGCCGAAACCCAGAAAUCAUUUAAUGCAUUUCUCGUCGAUGAACAGUGUACGUACGAACCCGGUUCUUUUGGAUUCCAACGACGCGGUCCGUACGUACAAACCGGGUUCAGUUUCGUCAGGGGCAUUUUGGUCAGUUUUUGGCUUAAUGAAAGGCCCAGCCCACAGUGUCAAAAUCUGAAAUUAAAAGUGGGUCAACGGCUACUGUGCGCAAUUUAAACCCUUCUUAGAAAUGA
rnacentral:sRNA from 1 species